ACGGGUGAGUAAUGCCUAGGAAUCUGCCUGGUAGUGGGGGACAACGUUUCGAAAGGAACGCUAAUACCGCAUACGUCCUACGGGAGAAAGCAGGGGACCUUCGGGCCUUGCGCUAUCAGAUGAGCCUAGGUCGGAUUAGCUAGUUGGUGAGGUAAUGGCUCACCAAGGCGACGAUCCGUAACUGGUCUGAGAGGAUGAUCAGUCACACUGGAACUGAGACACGGUCCAGACUCCUACGGGAGGCAGCAGUGGGGAAUAUUGGACAAUGGGCGAAAGCCUGAUCCAGCCAUGCCGCGUGUGUGAAGAAGGUCUUCGGAUUGUAAAGCACUUUAAGUUGGGAGGAAGGGUUGUAGAUUAAUACUCUGCAAUUUUGACGUUACCGACAGAAUAAGCACCGGCUAACUCUGUGCCAGCAGCCGCGGUAAUACAGAGGGUGCAAGCGUUAAUCGGAAUUACUGGGCGUAAAGCGCGCGUAGGUGGUUCGUUGAGUUGGAUGUGAAAUCCCCGGGCUCAACCUGGGAACUGCAUCCAAAACUGGCGAGCUAGAGUAUGGUAGAGGGUGGUGGAAUUUCCUGUGUAGCGGU
rnacentral:rRNA from 1 species